GUAGGGAAUAUUGCGCAAUGGGGGAAACCCUGACGCAGCGACGCCGCGUGAGUGAUGAAGGCCUUCGGGUCGUAAAGCUCUGUUGCAGGGGAAUAAAAAAAUGAAGGUACCCUGUGAGGAAGGAUCGGCUAACUUCGUGCCAGCAGCCGCGGUAAGACGAGGGAUCCUAUCGUUGCUCGGAAUCAUUGGGCGUAAAGAGGGCGUAGGUGGCGUGGUAAGUCAGGUGUGAAAGCCCAGGGCUCAACCCUGGAAGUGCAUUUGAUACUGCUGAGCUUGAGUGUCGGAGAGGUUACCGGAAUACCUGGUGUAGUGGUGAAAUACGUAGAUAUCAGGUGGAACACCGGAGGCGAAGGCGGGUAACUGGACGAACACUGACACUGAGGCCCGAAAGCGUGGGGAUCAAACAGGAUUAGAAACCCCGGUAGUCC
rnacentral:rRNA from 1 species